UCCCUGCAGGCAUUUUCCUCCCCUGGAACCAGAGUGACAACAUGGUUUGUGACUUGGCUGCAACUUGUGUUGCAAUCGCAGCAGCUGCUGACCUAGAGGAAGUCUGUGCCCGGUGCAGUGAGAGCUACCGGAGGAAGGGUGAAGCGAAACAAAGACCAGCAGCAAAGGAACUCAGAUGUAUCUGCCCCUUGCUGUAACCCACUAAGAGCCUGCUCUCCUCCCAGAGCUGGGAUAGAACCCAGGAGUCCUGACAGAGUCUCUCUCUCCACAGAGUUAGUAAUAAGGAACGGCCGGAGGUUCGUUACCACAGCAACCUCGACAGCACCAACGUGUCACCCCGCCAGACUCUGGACGGAGCUCAUAAGGGCAUAUUGGCCUCCAGCACACAGGCACCCAGAAUCCAUGGCAGAAUCUUUUGCCUGCAGAAGAGAAGCUCGUUAGAACUGCCAAGGGGAAGAUAAUUACUAGAGGUGAGCAUGUGGGGUUGGAAGAAUUAGCACCCCUGGGCCUUGCCUAGCCCUAACACUGACUCUCCACCUGACUCAGCCCCGAUCCUCCCUCCCUGCAACCCCAGCAGAGCAGAGGUUUGUAUGCUGCACACUGGGCCUUAAAACUUAGUGGGGCCACUCAGGGGACCCCAGAGGAGUCCCUGGGUCCCUCUAUACAAGGGUGGGGAGCAGGGUGCAGUUGCUUUAGCAAAUGGCACAUGUCGAAUGGGGAGAACAGGCCACCGUCACGGCCCCCUAACCACACCAGAGAUGGGGAGGGCAGAGUGGGCUGCCAGGCUGCCCCCCAAGAGGAGAGCCCAGCACUCAGCAGGCCUCCUGCACAAGGACAGAACCUGUGAUAGAUAAGGGGCCAUAGGGCCUGUCUAGACUGGUUUGGAUCAGUCCCGUAUGCUGCUGAAACCCUGGGGUUCACCUGCACCAACCUGAGCUGCAACCCUCCUGACACUGGCCCAUCGCUGACAGUGACCAUGGAGUGUGAUCCUAGAAACCCAGCACCCUGAAUGGGCCGCCAGCGCCUGAUGCUUUAGCUCUUCUUUCCCAAGUCUCCACUGAGCCCCAGGCCAGGCUGUUGGUUCUGGCUGGACAGAGCUGGGAAUCGGUUUUAUUGCCAGUAGCACUAAAUUGCUUGGUGCCGUUACAUUUAUCAUAGGCCAGAGAGCAGGGGCCAUGGGUUCCGGCAGCUCUGGAGCUUUCCAUUGCAGUGGGUCCAGUAUCCUUGUCUCUCACCGCCAACGGGCAGACAGCUGCCGUCCCCCAGUCCUCAGAAGCUGAGCAGGCGGACGGUGGGAUCCGGUUCUUGGAUUUCGCACCUCACAGCUCUUGUCACAUCCAACUUUUGCAGCCGCUUGGCCACGGAACGGCUGCUGAGCAGCUGUGACACACACGGAGCAGGUUAGUUACAGUCUGACGAACAGAGCUCCCAGCAUCGCUCUUCCUCUGCAGAGACAGCAGCGCCCACUGGUCUCCUCUCUGAUAGAAACGCAGGGCCUGGCUGGGGGAGCAGGGACGGCGGUGUACUAGAAAAGGGCCACAGCUGCACACCGGGAUGCAGAUUGUAACCCCCGUGUUUGGUUCCAGCUUCUCUCUUCAACGUGCCCCACACAACUCAUAGACUCAUAGACUUUAAGGUCAGAAGGGACCAUUAUGAUCAUCUAGUCUGACCUCCUGCACAACGCAGGCCACAAAAUCUCACCCACCCACUCCUGUAACAAACCCCUAACC